CCUACGGGAGGCAGCAGUAGGGAAUAUUGGGCAAUGGGCGGAAGCCUGACCCAGCCACGCCGCGUGCAGGAAGACGGCCCUCUGGGUUGUAAACUGCUUUUAACUGGGAAGAAAGCAGCUCAUGCGUGAGAAUUUGACGGUACCAGUUGAAUAAGCCACGGCUAACUACGUGCCAGCAGCCGCGGUAAUACGUAGGUGGCGAGCGUUAUCCGGAUUUAUUGGGUUUAAAGGGAGCGUAGGCGGCUGAUUAAGUCAGCGGUGAAAGGUAGCAGCUUAACUGUUUUACAUGCCGUUGAUACUGGUUAGCUUGAGUUGACAGAAGGCAGAUAGAAUUCCUGAUGUAGCGGUGAAAUGCUUAGAUAUCAGGAGGAAUACCGAUUGCGAAGGCAGUCUGCUGCAGUCACACUGACGCUGAGGCUCGAAGGUGCGGGGAUCAAACAGGAUUAGAUACCCUGGUAGUCCGCACAGUAAACGAUGAUUACUAGAUGUUGGCUAUGCCAGUGUCCAAGGGAACCCGAUAAGUAAUCCACCUGGGGAGUACGCCGGCAACGGUGAAACGUCAAAUGAAUUGACGG
rnacentral:rRNA from 1 species